AGGGUGCAAGCGUUGCUCGGAAUCACUGGGCGUAAAGCGACCGCAGGCGGCCUGACAAGUCGGAUGUGAAAGCCCUGGGCUCAACUCAGGAAUUGCAUUCGAAACUGGCAGGCUCGGGUACGGGAGAGGGGGGUGGAAUUCCUGGUGUAGGGGUGAAAUUCGUUGAUAUCAGGAGGAACACCGGCGGCGAAGGCGGCCCCCUGGCCCGCAACUGACGCUCAUGGUCGAAAGCGUGGGGAGCAAACAGG
rnacentral:rRNA from 1 species